UAGGGAAUCUUCGGCAAUGGACGAAAGUCUGACCGAGCAACGCCGCGUGAGUGAAGAAGGUUUCCGGAUCGUAAAACUCUGUUGUUAGAGAAGAACAAGGACGUUAGUAACUGAACGUCCCCUGACGGUAUCUAACCAGAAAGCCACGGCUAACUACGUGCCAGCAGCCGCGGUAAUACGUAGGUGGCAAGCGUUGUCCGGAUUUAUUGGGCGUAAAGCGAGCGCAGGCGGUUUCUUAAGUCUGAUGUGAAAGCCCCCGGCUCAACCGGGGAGGGUCAUUGGAAGCUGGGAGACUUGAGUGCAGAAGAGGAGAGUGGAAUUCCAUGUGUAGCGGUGAAAUGCGUAGAUAUAUGGAGGAACGCCAGUGGCGAAGGCGGCUCUCUGGUCUGUAACUGACGCUGAGGCUCGAAAGCGUGGGGAGCAAACAGG
rnacentral:rRNA from 1 species